UACGUAGGGCGCAAGCGUUGUCCGGAAUUAUUGGGCGUAAAGAGCUCGUAGGCGGCUUGUCACGUCGAUUGUGAAAGCCCGGGGCUUAACUCCGGGUCUGCAGUCGAUACGGGCUAGCUAGAGUGUGGUAGGGGAGACUGGAAUUCCUGGUGUAGCGGUGAAAUGCGCAGAUAUCAGGAGGAACACCGGUGGCGAAGGCGGGUCUCUGGGCCGAUACUGACGCUGAGGAGCGAAAGCGUGGGGAGCGAACAGG
rnacentral:rRNA from 1 species